ACCUGGCUGGCUCAGACAGUACAGCAUGAGAUUCUUGAUCUCAGGGUCAUGAGUUCAAGCCCCAUACUGGGUA
rnacentral:tRNA from 1 species